GAUUUUCUUUUUCAGGCUUAAGGCUGACUAAUGCUGGCAGGAAGCUGUUCCCAGGCAGAUGCAGACACGAAAUAGAAGACAUGCAUUGCACACCGCAGACCCACCAGCACCCACAGACUCGGCCAGCUUAAUGAAAACCAGGCACAAGAGAUAAGUGUUUAGCGAUUUUUAGAAAAGUUUUUAAUCUAUUGCCAGUGAGCUCAGUUUUGAGUGUAAGAUGGUUCGCUUUCUUCGUACCACUGCGGCUCUGAGCAGUAACUGAGUCGCCAAAAAAGAGCAGCCAACAAGAAGUGUCCCCCCCACCCCCCAAAAAUCACCAGACUAGAAGGAACAUUAGGGUUUUAUGGGAAGGAUAUCCUUAACUCCUGGUGGUAUCACAGGUUUCUGUCAUCUGUGGUUAGAUGCCUGAGGAUAUGGGUGGUUAGGCACGGCCAUCAGGCACACUGGUGGUCCCAGCCUGUCUUUCCUGACAAUGGGCUGUCACAUCACCUCAGCCUCCAUCACUGAGGAGCCUCAGGCAUCAGGCCUUUCUGAGAAUCGAGAUUGGAGCCACCCCUACCUCCACACCCAUAGAUAGGAGACCCCAACAUCUGGAAUCGUGUGCCAAACCCCAGCCCCAGCAGUGACUCCCUCCUGGUAGUGUGAGCCGCAGUGAGACACCAUCCCACACUCAAGAGUAUCUAAAAUCAAAGACCCACAAAGCCAAGGACCAAUGGGGUCAUGGAGCAACAGGGACAUACAUUGGCAAUGAGAGUUCAAAUGAUACAGGAGCUUGGAGACUGGCAACCUAAUAAGGUUAUGCUUCCUCCUACCAGCCAACCUACCUGCUCUGCUCCCUAAUGUUUCCUUAAGACUACGAACACAGUUGCUGACAGUUAAAUGCAAGAGCAGCUGCAUCCAUCACCUUCAAGCAGUGGAUAUGACUGCUUUGCAGUGGAUAUGCAGCCAUCCCCGAGUUUGCUUGUGUGACUAUAAAGUUGAAGUUUCUCCUGUUCCAGCAUCACUAAUUAAAAGAAGGAGCCUUCCUAUAGCCAGGUACUUUCUCACUGACACCAGAUCUCCAGUUGUCUGAGAACGUAUAGAUAUGUGUGAGGGCAAGGACUCAUGAGUCAGAUUCAGGUCACAUGUCCCCCUCCCUGGGUCAGCAGAGGGCGAACCAGCCCGAUGCCAUUCCCAGGUUUGAAUGGGAAAGAGGCUAAAUAAGGUCUCCCAUCCCCUCCCUGGCUUCCUAUCCAUGUUCUCUAGCAUAUACUAUGUGCUCAGGGCAGGUUGAAAGGCUCUGUCCCUUUAUGCAAGUUGUCACCCCGAUUAAGACCCUGCCUGGGUCUUAAGACAUGGCCCUGGAAGUUCCCUCAUCUUGGAGUUAGGGGACAGAGCAUUUCAACUUGAUUUCCAUACCAGCCCUGGGUAUCUGGAAGCACU
rnacentral:lncRNA from 1 species